rnacentral:rRNA from 1 species
AUUGAACGCUGGCGGCAUGCCUUACACAUGCCAGUCGAACGGCAGCACGGGUGCUUGCGCCUGGUGGCGAGUCGCGCACGGGUGUGUAAUACAUCGGAACAUGUCCUGACGCUGGGGUUAGCCCGGCGAACGCCGGAUUAAUACCGCAUACGAUCUACGGCGGAAAGCGGGGGACCGUCGGGCCUCGCGCUAUUGGGUUGGCCGACGGCGGAUUAGCUUGUUGGUGGGGUAAUGGCCUACCAAGGCGACGACCAGUAGCCGGUCUGAGAGGAGGACCAGCCACACUGGGAGGGGGACACGGCCAAGGCGCCUACGAGAGGCAGCAGUGGGGAACGUGGGACAACGGUCGAAAGCAUGAUCCAGCAAUGCCGCGUGUGAUGAGAAGGCGUCCGGGUUGUAAAGAACGUCUGCGGGGAAAGAAACCCUUGGCUCUGAUACAGACGGAGGGUGACGGUACCGGAAGAAUAAGCACCGGCUAACUACGUG